AUACUUACCUGGCCGGGGAGAUACCAUGAUCAUGAAGGUGGUUUUCCCAGGACGAGGCUGGUCCAUUGCACUCCAGAUGUGCUGACCCCUGCGACCUCCCCAACUGCAGAAACCUCCACUGCAUAAUUUGGGAUAGUGGGGGAGGAAAAAAAAAAUGAUUGUCAGGUGUCAGAACACAGACCCUCC
rnacentral:snRNA from 1 species